AAAUACCUUAAAGCCAAACGUUUAGACUGUUAACUUGGCGGAGAGAGUGACUUUGAAGAUAGUCCAGGUUAAAGCAGUUGUAUGUUUGAAUUAAAAACAAUGGGCAUGUGGGUCCUACACAAUUCUAAGGGAUUUUUUUUUUUCCUUCUAAGAAAAACACAGUCCUGUGGAUCACCAAGUCCAGAUUUGUACAAAGAAAAACUAGUUCAGGGCUGAGACUGAGAGCUGAUACAUUUCAAGGAGGACCGGCCGGCUGCACUUGUGAGCGGUGACAGAUCUCUGUGAAAUAUAAUCCUGAUUAAAAAUGCAUGUGUGAAACCUCUUCGAAUAAAGCGUUGUGUCCAACAGCAUUUUGGAGCUCCUGCCUGUGAGACGGGAAGACUAAUGUAGCCACUCUUGUACUGUUCACUCCAUCAUUCGCUGGCUGUUUCACAUUUCUGAAAUGCUAUCUUUCUAUAACUUUGGAUUAGAUAGAAUUUUGCAUUUUUUAUUAUAAAAGGUCAUUGAUAAAAGUGAAUUUUAAAAAUUCAGAAAUUCAUUGCCUACACACAGGCAGUCUUUUUUAUUUUUUUAUUUUUAUUUUUUUAUAAAAGUCUAAGUCAAGCACAUGUGUUAAAUGAUAGUUGUGAUUUAGAUCAACAUCAAUGCCUAUGAUGUUUCGGCCUCUACUACUGCUAAGUCACGUAAAAUACAAAAGAGGCACGUGUGCGUUGACUUCAUAUAGAUUAACGACUCUGUUGUUGUAAGUCUAUUUCGUUCCCAAAGCUGUAAUCAACUAUUGAAAAAUUUAAGAGAUUACAUAUAAACCAAUUUUGUUCACUUGGGGUCCAGAUUGAAAGGAAGUCAGGUAUAAAACCUGAGAAGCUUCCAAAACAGAGAUGAGGCAAAUCUCUCCAGUUUAAAAUGAAAACAAGUAAUUCAACUAUGGUGAAAUCUGAGCAAGUCAAGUUGCCUUGUGUUCCAGUUAUUACAAUUGUGUGGUUUUGAUCCUAAGAUCAUGGCCUGGAAUGCCUAAUUAUGGCUGUGUCCUUUGUUAGGAUCUACACGAUGGUCAUAGACCAUGCAAAUAGUCAUUCUUUUAAACCUCAGGGAAAUAAAGAAUUGGGAAAGAAAUUAAGAAGUGACCCAGUGGAGUAACAGAGCGUAAGUUGUGUCUGUAAUUAUACUCUCUCUCUAGCUCAUUGUAUAAUUGGGAGCCACACACAUAUACACAAAUGCACUCAGACAGAUUUAUAAGAAACAAAUAUAUCAGAAAAAUAUUUAUUGAGCUCCUUCUAUAGGUUCCAUAACUGAUAAAGUUAUGAAUGAUACAGUUCAGUUUGCUUGAUGCUCUUAAGUAUUUAUUUUCAGUGGUUAUUUAGAAAUUUUAUUAAUAUCUCCUGACCAACAUCUGUUUUCCCCAUCCCUCAUCCUAAGCAAUCAUAGUUCCAUUCAAUGGAUAUAUUUUUAAAAAUAUUUAUUUAUUUUUUCGUUGUAGUUGGAUACAAUACCUUUAUUUUAUUUAUUUAUACGUGGGGCUAAGGAUGGAACCCAGGGCCUUGCACGUGCUAGGCAAGCACUCUACUGCUAAGCCACAACCCUAGCCCCUCAAUGGAUAUUUUUAAAGAUAGAUUGCUUUGUUUAAUGUCAUUAAAAAAAAACAACCUAAAGUUUUUCUAAAUAACAGCUCCCACUGAGAACAUUUUUAAUGUCAUUUAUUCAAAUAAAAUGUAAAAAUUUCAGGAUUUGCCCUUUGUAGAAUGUGUGCAGACAUAGUGGUCAUGCGAGCCAUUUGCUCUCCCCUUUCAUGUCUCAGUCUAGUACACUUUUCAUAUCUGGUUGUCUGCAGAUCUUCCCAGGAAGAUAUGAAAAUUAACUCACAAGUGCAAUGCAUUUAGCAUAAUCUAACUGAAGUGGUUUUUUUCUUCUUAAUCAUGUAAUCAGGAAAGCAUUCAAGAUUAUAAGGGUUCUGAAUUUACACCACCAAGUAAGCAGGAGAGAGGAAUAUAUUUGACAGUUUUAGGUCUAAAAGCUGAAUAUAUCACUGCGAAGUAUAAGUUGGUUUCUGUUUUUCACUUAUUCGAGGAACAGGUAUUGGAUAUUAUUGGUGACACAAGGACAAUUUUAACUGGAAUAUUGAAAUGAGUGUAGUUUGAGGAAUAAUUAACACUAUUCACUUGCUCUAAAUUUAAGAUUUAAACAUUUUGCCUUAGGUUUUAUGAUGUUCCCUAAUGCACAUCUGUAUGUUAAUAAUACCUAUUCUUUCUUGUAGCAGGAUUAAUCCUAUAGAAUGACUUUUUAAAAUGCCUAUGGUGAUUUUCCUUAAAUAAAUUCCACUUUUAAGGAAUAUAGCAUAUAUAGUUUCAUAGCAAUAUAUAGAACACAAAAGAAUGGACAGAAUUCUACAACAAAAUAUGUUGCAGGUAGAAACCAAUGAAUAAAAAUGACUAUCAGUGAGAUCAACAACAACAACAAAAAGCUUUCUAAAACCUUUAAGACCUUGAAUAUUUUUUCUAAUCCCCUGGUGCCUUUUAACAAGUGGAACUACUUUUUUUUUUUUAUAAAAUUGUCAAUGGCUUUUCUUUAGAUUUAUUGGGAGUAUCUGUCUUUUGUGUUUUAACAAUAUACAAAGCUUUCUCGUGUAUUAUUUUCCCUGGUGCACAUGAACAUACACGAAAAUGCAUGCAGAGAAGUUUGCCAAAGAAAGGCUGUUGAUCACCUUCAUGUGAAACGUGAUUCUCUAUGUCUGGUGCAAAUACCACACAACUACCGCAGACGUGCUUUGCUGGUAUCUUCAUAUUAACAAAUGCUUGGAUAUUCGUAGGAGUAAAAUGUAAUUUAUCCUCAUCAUUCUGUAUAUUUUACUUUAUUUUCAAUUAAUUCUCUUGUUAUAUUACAUCUAUGUUAAUAUAUGUUUUCAUACAAAUUCUAAGGAGAGUACUGCCUCUAAUUUAUUUCCCAUCUUACAGUUAAUUUAAGCAGGGGUUUAAUACCAAUGAUCUCCUUUCUUAGUAACAAAUAUACACAGUGAGUGUUCUGAGAUUUAUGUGUGAAUCUAGAAUUCAGAAAUGGGUUUUUUUUAUCACUCCUUUUGAUUUAAAAUUAAUUACCAAUUAUUAACUUAAAAAUUCACAAUGAGAAUUAGUAACCUCUGAUUGCUACUUAGUUUAUUCUUGUUAUUUUAAAACUUUAAGUAUUGAUAUUAAUAUCAAUGUUUUUGAGCAACCUCUCUAUUAUUAAAAGGUCCUCUAAUAUUCAUAGUCUGAAUCAGUAUGCAUGUAAACACUGUGUAUGUGAAAUUUUAAAAUUUCUUUCGGAUGCAGGGAAAUUUAAAAAAUUGUAGACUAAAUGCUGAUAAAAAUAUUUUUAUGAUGGCAAUUUUAAGA
rnacentral:lncRNA from 1 species